rnacentral:rRNA from 1 species
UACGUAGGGGGCAAGCGUUGUCCGGAAUCAUUGGGCGUAAAGAGCGUGUAGGCGGCCCGGUAAGUCCGCUGUGAAAGUCCAGGGCUCAACCCUGGGAUGCCGGUGGAUACUGUCGGGCUCGAGUCCGGAAGAGGAGUGUGGAAUUCCUGGUGUAGCGGUGAAAUGCGCAGAUAUCAGGAAGAACACCCGUGGCGAAGGCGGCUCUCUGGGACGGUACUGACGCUGAGGAGCGAAAGCGUGGGGAGCAAACAGG